GACAGAGGUGCCGAGCGUUAGGCGGAAUCACUGGGCUUAAAGCGUGUGUAGGCGGGCGGGCAAGUACCUUGUGAAAUCCCACGGCUCAACCGUGGAACGGCUGGGUAUACUGCCUGUCUUGAGCCAACUAGGGGCGAGCGGAACAGACGGUGGAGCGGUGAAAUGCGUAGAUAUCGUCUGGAACGCCAAAGGUGAAAACAGCUCGCUGGGGUUGUGCUGACGCUGAGACAGAAAGCCAGGGGAGCGAA
rnacentral:rRNA from 1 species